CAAUUUUAGCAAGUUUGGGCAAAGUUGUUUUUGGGACAGCAAAUCCCACCCCCAGGUGUGAGAUUUCCUACACCCACCUGUGAGAUUCUCUGGACAAAAGGCAACAACGUUUUUUUUAGUUAACUUUCAUCUCCAGCAGUCCUAAUUCACUUAGAACAUCUUAUAAAGAUUUCUAGCAGCUGUAGAAACUAGAUUAAAAUUAAUUAGGAAAUCUCCUAGUCUAUUCAGGACUUUUUAAUAUUUCCUACCUUAUUUAGGUCUUCCUAUUUUAUUUAGGAUUUCCUAUUGUAUUUUAAUUUAUCUAAAAUUCCUAUUUACUAGUUUCAUAUUCCUAUUAGGUUUGGGAGUCUAAAAGCUCUGUAAAUACCCUUUAUUUACAUGUAUUUCAGUUAAUAAAAAAAAUCCU
rnacentral:misc_RNA from 1 species